UUCAAGCAAUAAUUACAUUCUUAUUCGGCUUAACCGAAUUAACUUGGACACCUUUCAUGUGUAUAGGAGCCUAAGCUUUUCGUCUAGUAAUAUUUUCUAAGUCGCUCAUCUAUACUCUGCAUAGUAUCUGGCCAGCUGUCACAAUAUACACACCGCGUGUUUAAGAAUCGCUUAUAUUUUUACUUAUAUUUAGACAACAGCAUUCCAGAGGGAAAUUAGUAAUUGUUUACCCUUUUACAGAUGCAGGUUAACAAGCAUACCAGAUGACAAUAAGGACGGCAACGUCCAACACACGUGUGAUUGAGGUUGAACGAUCCGAUGUCUUUACAUUAAUUACUGUGGGUAAAUCCGCUCAAUAUUCACAAGGAAGAGCAUAUUAUUCUUCUUAGAUCGCAACACAGGCUAAGAAGAUUUCCGUUGUUAUAUUAAGAAUUUAACUACUACCACAACGUAUACGAUACACCUCGUACGUGCGUAUAUAAGAUCGAGAUCGUCCAAUCUGCAUAUGUAAUUAUCAAUAAAAGGGAUAUUAUAUCCGUGGGUUAUACUCUCAACAAUACAGAGCAACUGCUCGCAGCUCAUCUGACGUGGCAAAAGGAUGUCACGAUAAUUCACCUGUCUUACAUCUGUCGCAAUCAUUCAAUGGAACAACAGCAACCAUAUACCGAUUACAUGGUAUUAUACCUUUAAGGCAAUACACUCAACAGUUCAAUGCACCUGCUUGCAGCAGAACCGUGACAAGAUGAAUGUCAGUAGCUUGCAUCAAGCUCUCGUGCAAUAGAAGAACAACAACCAAAUAUUAUUUAUAUAACUCCAACAUUAUGUAAAGUGUCCAUAUAAUUUAAAUCUUUAAGGAUUCAAUCUCUGCACUUAAUAAGUAUAAUUACAUAUCAAUAUCAAUGCAUAUUCAUACACAGUUCUAAUUUAAGUAUUAUCAUCCGGUGAAGUAAUAAAUACACUGUUCAAAGCAGAUAUACAUGCGUUUCAUGAAUUAUGUCAUAGAAACAUAGAAAGCAGCAAUCUACCCUAAUUCAGUAUUCAGUAACAUCAAUUAGUGCUAUUUAUAGUUCAUGUUAGUUAGUAUUACUAUAUUAAACAAUAUUAUAUUUGAUAUUGUGUUUCUUUUAGGUAUACACCAUAUAACUAUACUCUCCUCAGUACGAUGCACCCUUGCGCAGCUUGCCAAUAGCAACGAGCAAGUGACACAGCAAUACACAGUGAACACAAGGCAACAACCAAGUAUCACCUACGUGAUUCAUUCAACACAAAUGCAUCCGUUUCAUGAAUUAUAAUAAUUAUUACGGAAAGAAGAGGAAACCUGAAUUAUAUCUGCAUCCUAGCAUGUAGUACAGCAGUACAAAACUGCUAUACAAUUAGCUAAUCUAUUAAUAUAUCUAGAAUCUUAACUAAGUUCCUUAUCAUUAAUUAUACUAUUUUCUAUUGAAUUAAGAUUAAGAGCUCGCUAUUGCGACAUAAAUUAUACAACUCACUUGCUCACAGAUUGAGUCAAAAUCAACUAUUCUGCGUGUGAUACUAUCCGUAAAGUGGUACAAAAUGUAUCUAUACUAUUAAUUAUAAUCAAUUAGAUUCAAAUUAAUUCAUAAUUUAAGUAUAUGUUCUUAAAUGUUUCAACUACACCACUUUCUAUUUAUCUUUUAGAUAUGCUACCAUAUAAUUGUACGCUAAUCAGUACAGUGCAUCUUGUGCAGCUCCCAACAGCAACAAGCGAGUGUCGCAGUAGUUCACAGGGAACAGCGAGGCAACAACAGCCAAGUAUCACCUACGUGAUUUUUACAACACAAGUGCAUCCGUUUCAUGGAUUAUAUCACAGGAAUCUAUCAUUCAUUAGUAUACACCAUAUAACUAUACUCUCAUCAGUGCGGAGCACCCUUGCGCAGCUCGCCAAUAGCAGCGAGCAAAUAUCCCAGCAAUUCACAGGGAGCACAGGGCGAUAACAGCCAAGUAUCACCUACGUGAUUGAUUCAACGCAAGUGCAUCACUCAAACAAGUAUUCACACGUGGGUGUUAGUUCUAGCAGAAUCAUAAUUGCCUCUCUACUGUUAUUUUAGUAAAUUUAAAUGAUUAGUAAUAGAGGCAGUGUAUACGCCUUCUUACUUAAGACAACAAAAUGAUAAUACUUAUUUCCUUAUUGCAAGGAUCUAUCAUUCAUUAAUUGAAAAUGAAUUACAUUGAAUUAAAAUUAAAAUUGAAAUCGAAAUAACUAAUAAAGGAAAAGAAACACCAUUUCAUAACCAUCAGAGUUAUACAUACAACAAAUAAAUGAUUAUUAGUUAAUUAAUUAGCAUUAGUGCUAUAACUCAUAAACUAAAGUGACACUAUACUAGACUAUACCAAUGUGGUUGCUAUACUAUCUAAGUUAAUAUAUAAUACUUGAAUAUCUUAGAAUUAGAAGGGUGACAGGUCACGCAACGUCACGCUGCAAGUCAAUUUCCUUGACUUGCUUUACUACCUAUUAUAAUCAUCAUUUCUGAAGCGAUUAUGCUAUUAGAUUCUAAUAAUAAGAUCUAUUUAUUCCUAAACUAUAUUUACUUUCUAAUAUAGUACAACAGUGCGGAGUUACUAUGCAUUUAGCUAAUCUAUGUAAUUCCUAGAAUAGCUUAACUAAGUUCCUUGACACUACUUAUAAACUACUACUAUUUACCCGUAGUUUUAUUUAUACAACAGUAAUUGUCUAUUACGUAAUACUGCGAUUAUUCAUAUAGCUUUAUAAUGUUUAAUUUCAUUUAACAAUAAGUCUUGCGUACGUAGAGUAAACUCUCUAUAUUCUAUGACAACAUACAACUAAUCCAACUGGUUGCACAACUCCUGUGUACACGUACACCAAGGAGGGCCACGCGCGAA
rnacentral:lncRNA from 1 species